rnacentral:rRNA from 1 species
UACGGGGGGGGCAAGCGUUGUUCGGAAUUACUGGGCGUAAAGGGCUCGUAGGUGGCCAACUAAGUCAGACGUGAAAUCCCUCAGCUUAACUGGGGAACUGCGUCUGAUACUGGAUGGCUUGAGUUUGGGAGAGGGAUGCGGAAUUCCAGGUGUAGCGGUGAAAUGCGUAGAUAUCUGGAGGAACACCGGUGGCGAAGGCGGAUCUCUGGGCCAUUACUGACGCUGAGGAGCGAAAGCGUGGGAGCGAACGAGG